CUUUUUCCCAGGGUAGAGGAGUCUAAAACUCUAUAAAUUUAAGGUGAGAGGGGAAAGAUUUAAAAGGGACUUUUUCACACAGAGGGUGGUGGGUACAUGGAACGAGCUUCCAGAGGAAGUGGUAGAGAUGGGUACAAUUACAAUGUUUAAAAGACAUUUGGACAGGUACACAGAUAGGAAAGGUUUAGAGGGAUUUGGGACAAAUGCAGGCAAAUGGGACUCGCUCAGGUAGGCAACUUGGUCAGCAUGGAUGAGUUGGGCCGAAGGGCCUCUUUCCAUGCUGUAUGACUCUCUGACUCUAUGACUCAACACUGCAUUCCUGUCUGGCCACACUGACCCUUCAAACCCUUUGUUAUUAUCUAUCUACCUCUGCCUUAAAAAUGUUCAAAGAUUCCGCUUCCACUGCCCGAUGAGGAAGAGACUUCCGAAGGUUCAAGGCCACCUGAGAGAAAAGAAACAUUCACCUUAUCUCUGCCGUCAGAAGUGGGAGAAGUUAGAAAUGAAACAUGUUUCAGAGACGGAGGGGAAGUGGAGAGUCUGUGACAGACUGGAGACCGAGGGACUCCAGGCAACACAAAUGAUGUUGGUGGUGUCUGAGAGAGGGUGAUGAAUGCUCGUUAAUUAUAGCUUAGCUGUCUGGAGGAGGUGUAAAUAGAGGGCGGUGAAAGAGAAUGGAGGGUAAAACCAUGCUGGAAAAUGGCACAGCUGCUGCUGGAAAUCCAAAAUAAAAGAGAGUGCUGGAAGCACCCAGCUAAUCAGGUAGUAACUGUGGGGACAGAAAAACAUGUUAGGUUGAUAUACUUCAUCAUAAUUGACCCAUUCUGACACAAACUGGAAAGGCUGGUCAUCUGAAAUUGUUGAAUUCGGUAUUGAGUCUCAGGAAGUGCAGUGUGUCCAGACAUAAGAUGAGGUUCUCUUCCUCAAACCUGCACGGUUGCAACGAAGCCCAACAUAAGAGACUAAAGACAGGUCAGAGUGGAAGUGGGAUGGUUCCAGUCACUUUGCACAUUGCCCAUCCCCCCCCCCCCACAUUUCCCUUUUUUACCUCCACCCCUGCAUGGUUUUCUCUCUUUGCCCAGCUGUGAUGAGUGGUCAUCGGACUGAAACGUUGACUGCUUGCCUCUCCACUGACGUUACCUGACCUGCCGAAUGUUUCCAACCUUAGGACAUAGAGCAUAGAACUGUGCAGCUCAGGAAUGACUGUGCCAAAGAUGAUGCCAAACAAAACCACUCCCAUCUGCUUGCACAUGAGCCCUCUCCCCUCUAUUCCCUUCAUGUUUAUGUGUUUAUCUGAAAGUGUCUUAAAUGCCACUAUCAUGUCAGCUUCCACCACCACACCUGGCAGUGUGUUCCAGGUAGGUACCACUCUCUGUGCUAAAAAACUUUGCCUGUACAUCUCCUAUAACCUCUCCUCCUCUCACCUUAAAGCUAUGCCCUCUAGUAUUGUACAUUUCCACCCUGGUAAAGAGACUUUGAAAGAGACCCUAUCUCUGCCUCUCAUAAAUUUAUAAACUUUCAGUCUCCCCUCAGCCUCCAGCGCUCCAGAGAAAACAAUCCAAGUUUGUCUAACCUCUCCUUAUAGCUCAUGCCUUCUAAUCCAAGCAACAUCCUGAUAAACCUCUUCUGCACCCUCUACAAAGCCUCCACAUCCUUCCAGUAAUGGGGCGACCAGAACUGCACGCAAUACUCCAAAGUGCGACCAGCCAAAGUUUCAUACUGCGGCUUCUGUCUUUAUUUCAGAUUGCCAGCACCUGCUGUUUUUUGCUUUUAUUUCACAUCCAAGUUCAUCGAGUCUGUGGAGUCGGACAGCACAGAAACAGGUCCUUCGGCCCAACUGGUCCAUGCUGAUGAAGAUGCCCCAUCCAGGCUAGUCCCAUUUGCCAGCUUUUGGCCCAUAACCUUAAAUUAAAUUUAAAUUUUAUUUACAGCGUGGUAACAGGCCCUUUCGGCCCAACGAGUCCGUGCCGCCCAUUUUAAACCCCCAAAUUAACCUACCCGUGCGUCUUUCCGAAUGUGGGAGGAAACCCACACAGACACGGGAGAACGGCUUCAAAAGCUUUCUGAUCCAUGUACCUGGACUUGGAACAGCCUUUGAUGAGGAAUUUACCAGGUUGCUGACAGUUGAUUCAAAGUUUAAGAUCAGGAGAAUUUGUCCCAAAACUACUCGCCAAUUUAAUUACAUUCCAAAAAGGAUCCUAGUGUUGGCCAUUGAUGGAAUUGAUCGCCAAGGAAUCUGGCCGUCCAGUUGCAGAGACUCCUUUGUGAUUACUUUUUCUCUCCACACUAUUUCCUCAGGCUCCGUCCUUUUGCCCGCCCAUCUGCUGCUCUUCAGUGGCACUGUCCGAAAACACGUGCCAGCUCAUCACCCCCUCUCUCCGUCUUUCCAUCGGCAGAGGAGUGAACGGGUGGUGCAGCAGUUACCCCUGCUUCCCCACAGCUCCAGUGACCCCAGCUCCAUCUUCACCUCCGCCCCUGUCAGUGUGAAGUCUGCAUGUUCAACGCUAUUACAGUGCCAGUGACAUGGGUUCAAUUCCCGCCACUGUCUGUAAGGAGUUUGUACGUCCUCCCCGUGUGACUGAGUGGGUUUCCUCCGGGUGCUCCGGUUUCCUCCCACAUUCCAAAGACGUACAGGUUAGGAAGUUGCGGGCGCGCUACGUUGGCGCCGGAAGCGUGGCGACACUUCAGGCUGCCAGCAGAACGCUCUACGCAAAAGCUGCAUUUCACUGUGUGUUUUGAUGUACAUGUGACUAAUAAAGAAAUCUUAUCUUACCGCAUGGGUUUCCCCAAGUACUCUGGUUUUCUGAGGACAUGUUCCGACAUUAAUUGGCUACUGGAAAUUUCCCCCUUAGUGUUAGGUAAGAGGCAGGAAAACAGGAGGGGAGUUAAUGGGCAUCUGAGAGGAAUCAAAAAAUAACCUCAAAUUUGCUCACCGUUCAUUGUUAUCACAGCUUCAGGUUUUGCUAUGGAGUCAUAGUGAGCUACAACACGGUCCUGAGCAUCAACCACCCACUUUACACUAAUCCAACAUCAAUCCCAGAAUCCCAUCAACUCCCCCUAGAUUCUACCCCUCGCCUACACACUAGGAGCAAUUUACAGCAGUAUAUUAACCUACUGAACUGCAUGUCAUUGGGAUGAGGGGGGAAACCCACACGAUCACUGGGAGAAUACGCAAACUUCACACAGACACUGCCUGAGGUCAGGAUCGAACUCUGGCUUUUGGCGCUUUGAGGCAGCAGCUCUACCAGCUGUGCCACGUGCCUUUAUGUUGAGGUGAAUAUUCUAAAAAUGAAUUAGAAGAGAAAAGUGACAGGUCCCAAUAGAAAAAAAAGUUUUAUUUUCAAUAAAGAAACCAAGGAUGAAAAUGUGCUUGAUAAGGAUAAGGGGAAAAUGAUAGGGCUAUGAAGUAAGAGCACAGGUGCGAGAUCAUCUUAGAAAUAUGAGAUAAUUUCAGUAAAUCUAAAUGGUCAGAUGUGCUGAUUGAUUCCUUGUGAUAUUCUAAGCUCCUGUUACAUGUGUAAUGAAUCAGAGCUACUGAUGGUCUAUGCUGUCUAAUAAGGUUAAUCACUGAAUGGUAAAUUAUUCCAAUUGCAUAAAAUACAACUCCAAGUAAUCAAAUCUUUGUCAAGUGUGCAAAGAUACCUACAAAUCCUCUUGUUUAAUUUUUAAACAUCUACUGGUGAUAUACAGAUUGUACACUAGGACAUAUUGUAAACAGCAUACAAAGAGUGAUUUUUGUGUCAGUUCAGGCUGAAGCAAUGAAGUAAAUUAUAAUGACAUAAUAAAUAAUUCAAUGAAAAAAAUGCAA